AGCGAACGCUGGCGGCAGGCCUAACACAUGCAAGUCGAACGAACUCUUCGGAGUUAGUGGCGGACGGGUGAGUAACACGUGGGAACGUGCCUCUAGGUUCGGAAUAACUCAGGGAAACUUGUGCUAAUACCGAAUGUGCCCUUCGGGGGAAAGAUUUAUCGCCUUUAGAGCGGCCCGCGUCUGAUUAGCUUGUUGGUGGGGUAAUGGCCCACCAAGGCGACGAUCAGUAGCUGGUCUGAGAGGAUGACCAGCCACAUUGGGACUGAGACACGGCCCAAACUCCUACGGGAGGCAGCAGUGGGGAAUCUUGCGCAAUGGGCGAAAGCCUGACGCAGCCAUGCCGCGUGGAUGAUGAAGGUCUUAGGAUUGUAAAAUCCUUUCACCGGUGAAGAUAAUGACUGUAGCCGGAGAAGAAGCCCCGACUAACUUCGUGCCAGCAGCCGCAGUAAGAC
rnacentral:rRNA from 1 species